rnacentral:tRNA from 1 species
GUGGCUAUAGCUCAGUGAUAGAGUGCAUGCUUAGCAUGUGCUAGGUCCUGGGUUCAAUUCCCAGUACUUCCA